AGUGAACGCUGGCGGCGUGCCUAAUACAUGCAAGUCGAACGGAGUGGCGCACGGGUGAGUAAUAUAUAGCUAAUCUGCCCCUUGCUGGAGGACAACAGUUAGAAAUGACUGCUAAUACUCCAUAGCAAGGGAUGAGAAUAGAUCGUAUCAGCUAGUCGGUGGGGUAACGGCCUACGGAGGCUAUGACGCGUAACUGGUCUGCGAGGAUGAUCAGCGACAUUGGAACUGAGACACGGUAGAAAUGCCUACGGGAGGCAGCAGUAGGGAAUAUUGCGCAAGGGGGGAAGCGCUGACGAAGCAACGCCGCGUGGAGGAUGACACGUUUCGGAGCGUAAACUCCUUUUGUUAGGGAAGCGGUACCUAACGAAUAAGCACCGGCUAACUCCGUGCCAGCAGCCGCGGUAAUUC
rnacentral:rRNA from 1 species